UACGGAGGGUGCAAGCGUUAUCCGGAUUCACUGGGUUUAAAGGGUGCGUAGGCGGGCAGGUAAGUCCGUGGUGAAAUCUCUGAGCUUAACUCAGAAACUGCCAUGGAUACUAUUUGUCUUGAAUAUUGUGGAGGUAAGCGGAAUAUGUCAUGUAGCGGUGAAAUGCUUAGAUAUGACAUAGAACACCAAUUGCGAAGGCAGCUUACUACAAAGUUAUUGACGCUGAGGCACGAAAGCGUGGGGAGCGAACAGG
rnacentral:rRNA from 1 species